rnacentral:rRNA from 1 species
CGAGGGGUGCAAGCGUUGCUCGGAAUUAUUGGGCGUAAAGGGUAGGUAGGUGGUCUCAUUUGUCUGGGGUGAAAUCCUUGAGCUUAACUCAAGAAGUGCCCUAGAAACGGUAAGACUAGAGUCCUGGAGAGGGUCGUGGAAUUCCCGGUGUAGCGGUGAAAUGCGUAGAGAUCGGGAGGAACACCAGAGGCGAAGGCGGCGACCUGGACAGGUACUGACACUAAACUACGAAAGCGUGGGGAGCAAACAGGAUUAGAUACCCUGGUAGUCCACGCUGUAAACGAUGAGUACUAGGCUUGGUGGGUCUUGACCCCCGCUGAGCCGGAGCUAACGCACUAAGUACUCCGCCUGGGAAGUACGGUCGCAAGACUA